AGAACAGCAGUAUCAAGCUACACAUCAAAAGAUGAAGGCAUGAAGCAUGAGCUCAAUAUAAAUAUUACAUCUUAGCAAUCUAAAAUUCUAAAUAUCAGAUAUUACCAGAGCAAGUAGCAUUUUCAUCAUACCAAAAUGGGAAAAAGUUUGCAAAGUCAUUUGUCACAGUAUUCAAAUAUUGAAAACAGAAUUGAGAAGCUACAACCAUCAUAAUCAAGCUAUAGAAGAACCACAUAAAAUAGAUAAAUAUAGACUACAUGUUCAAUGAAUAAGAAGAAAUUGGUUUUCUUCCUAAUAUUGGAAGGGAAUAGUUAAAAUCAAAAAGAAUCAUCUACCGACAACAUCUCUAAGUCGCAACUAGAAUUUAGUUCAGUAGACUUUGGCAUGUUAAUUUAUCUCUUUCUAGUCAACUUACUCACAAGGAAAGAAAACCAUGUCAGAUCAAUGAAUGGGAUCUUUAAUCAGUACAAGUGCAAAGUAAAAUCAUAGGCAAAGAAGGAAACCACUGCCUAAAAAAAUUGUAU
rnacentral:misc_RNA from 1 species